rnacentral:rRNA from 1 species
GAUGAACGCUGGCGGCGUGCCUAAUACAUGCAAGUCGAGCGAACAGACGAGGAGCUUGCUCCUCUGACGUUAGCGGCGGACGGGUGAGUAACACAUGGAUAACCUACCUAUAAGACUGGGAUAACUUCGGGAAACCGGAGCUAAUACCGGAUAAUAUAUUGAACCGCAAGGUUCAAUAGUGAAAGCCGGUUUUGCUGUCACUUAUAGAUGGAUCCGCGCCGCAUUAGCUAGUUGGUAAGGUAACGGCUUACCAAGGCAACGAUGCGUAGCCGACCUGAGAGGGUGAUCGGCCACACUGGAACUGAGACACGGUCCAGACUCCUACGGGAGGCAGCAGUAGGGAAUCUUCCGCAAUGGGCGAAAGCCUGACGGAGCAACGCCGCGUGAGUGAUGAAGGUCUUCGGAUCGUAAAACUCUGUUAUUAGGGAAGAACAAAUGUGUAAGUAACUAUGCACGUCUUGACGGUACCUAAUCAGAAAGCCACGGCUAACUACGUGCCAGCCGCCGCAGUAA